rnacentral:rRNA from 1 species
UACAGAGGGUGCAAGCGUUAAUCGGAAUUACUGGGCGUAAAGCGUGCGCAGGCGGUUCGUUGUGUCCGUCGUGAAAGCCCCGGGCUUAACCUGGGAACUGCGAUGGAAACUAGCGAGCUGGAGUGUGGCAGAGGGGGGUGGAAUUCCGCGUGUAGCAGUGAAAUGCGUAGAGAUGCGGAGGAACACCGAUGGCGAAGGCAGCCCCCUGGGCUAACACUGACGCUCAGGCACGAAAGCGUGGGGAGCAAACAGG